UCUUCGUCUUGCAGGUUUUUUGGAAGCAAACUAUGAUCUGAUCAUCGUGUAUUCAUUUCUCCAAAGAAAACCGUUGCAAAAAAAUUAUAAGCCUUCUCUCAUACAAGAGUCAAAACCCUUGCAACUAUGGUGGAAGCACCGGGACUGAUAUGAUAAAUCUUUCUUCAGAUAUGUCAUCUUUUUAGUUUAUCUUAAAGGAUGCCGUCUCUCCAAGAUCUUAUCUAAAUCCUUGCCCAGAGAAAACAUUUUCCCUCUGUUAAUUGUUUGAUUUCCUACUCAAAAGUAUUCAACGGCAUUGGAAUCUUUCUGUGAGAAGUUCGAUCCAGAUUUCAUCGAGAUCAGGACAAAGGCCAGAGAGUUGUUGCAGAGGGAAGACGAUCUUAAUGAAGUUUAUUCGUCUUGCAGGUGUUGUUUAUAAGAGAAAAGCAUCAUGUUACUAACUGGUGUCUUUCCUCUUUUUUCUCUGUUUUUGUAUUUCUCAUGCUACAUAACAAAAAAGCGUCACUACUUACGGGUCUCUUUCCACUUUUUUCUCUGUUAAUUUAUGUAUCUCUGAUGCUGCAUCUAUUCCAAUCGAGUUUGUUCUUAUACUUUAACAAUUUCAAGUGGUU